rnacentral:rRNA from 1 species
ACUCCUGCGGGAGGCAGCAGUGGGGAAUUUUGGACAAUGGGCGAAAGCCUGAUCCAGCCAUGCCGCGUGCAGGAUGAAGGCCUUCGGGUUGUAAACUGCUUUUGUACGGAACGAAACGGCCUUUUCUAAUAAAGAGGGCUAAUGACGGUACCGUAGAAUAAGCACCGGCUAACUACGUGCCAGCAGCCGCGGUAAUACGUAGGGUGCAAGCGUUAAUCGGAAUUACUGGGCGUAAAGCGUGCGCAGGCGGUUAUGUAAGACAGUUGUGAAAUCCCCGGGCUCAACCUGGGAACUGCAUCUGUGACUGCAUAGCUAGAGUACGGUAGAGGGGGAUGGAAUUCCGCGUGUAGCAGUGAAAUGCGUAGAUAUGCGGAGGAACACCGAUGGCGAAGGCAAUCCCCUGGACCUGUACUGACGCUCAUGCACGAAAGCGUGGGGAGCAAACAGGAUUAGAAACCCUUGUAGUCCC